rnacentral:tRNA from 1 species
AAGGAUAUAGUUAAUUAUAACAUUUAAUUUGCAAUUAAAAAAUAUUGAAACUUUCAAUUUUCCUUA